GGGGCGCUAGCUCAGUUGGUAGAGCAACGGCCUUUUAAGCCGUGGGUCACUGGUUCGAAUCCAGUGCGCCUCA
rnacentral:tRNA from 1 species